GCAAGAAGAUCCCCUGCUCUUCUCCAGUGACAUUUUUUUCAUUGAGCCAAUGGAGGGAGAAAUUGGGCCCAACUCUUCGGCAAAAAUCAAGGUGACCUUCAAACCCCUGGAAGCAAUGGAGUAUCAAAGUGUGGCUUACUGCAGCAUCUCAGGCCGUGAGAUGAGGCUGCCCCUGCUCCUCAGAGGGCAAGGCCAAGAACCCUUGGUUGAAUUCAGCAUCCCUACACUGAACCUCGGGAAUGUUUUUGUCUAC